rnacentral:rRNA from 1 species
GUGGGGAAUAUUGGACAAUGGGCGAAAGCCUGAUCCAGCCAUGCCGCGUGUGUGAAGAAGGUCUUCGGAUUGUAAAGCACUUUAAGUUGGGAGGAAGGGCAGUAAGUUAAUACCUUGCUGUUUUGACGUUACCGACAGAAUAAGCACCGGCUAACUUCGUGCCAGCAGCCGCGGUAAUACGAAGGGUGCAAGCGUUAAUCGGAAUUACUGGGCGUAAAGCGCGCGUAGGUGGUUUUGUAAGUUGGAGGUGAAAUCCCCGGGUUCAACCUGGGAACUGCCUCCAAAACUGCAUGACUAGAGUACGGUAGAGGGUAGUGGAAUUUCCUGUGUAGCGGUGAAAUGCGUAGAUAUAGGAAGGAACACCAGUGGCGAAGGCGACUACCUGGACUGAUACUGACACUGAGGUGCGAAAGCGUGGGGAGCAAACAGGAUUAGAUACCCGUGUAGUCC